UACGUAGGGGGCUAGCGUUGUCCGGAUUUAUUGGGCGUAAAGAGCGCGUAGGCGGCCGAGUAAGUCCGACGUGAAAUCUGGAGGCUCAACCUCCAGCGGUCGUUGGAAACUACUCGGCUAGAGUCCGGAAGAGGCGAGUGGAACUCCUGGUGUAGCGGUGGAAUGCGCAGAUAUCAGGAGGAACACCAGUGGCGAAGGCGGUGCUCUGGGCCGGAACUGACGCUGAGGAGCGAAAGCGUGGGGAGCAAACAGG
rnacentral:rRNA from 1 species